AUUGAACGCUGGCGGCAGGCCUAACACAUGCAAGUCGAGCGGAUGACGGGAGCUUGCUCCUGGAUUCAGCGGCGGACGGGUGAGUAAUGCCUAGGAAUCUGCCUGGUAGUGGGGGACAACGUUUCGAAAGGAACGCUAAUACCGCAUACGUCCUACGGGAGAAAGCAGGGGACCUUCGGGCCUUGCGCUACCAGAUGAGCCUAGGUCGGAUUAGCUAGUUGGUGAGGUAAUGGCUCACCAAGGCGACGAUCCGUAACUGGUCUGAGAGGAUGAUCAGUCACACUGGAACUGAGACACGGUCCAGACUCCUACGGGAGGCAGCAGUGGGGAAUAUUGGACAAUGGGCGAAAGCCUGAUCCAGCCAUGCCGCGUGUGUGAAGAAGGUCUUCGGAUUGUAAAGCACUUUAAGUUGGGAGGAAGGCAGUCCGGUUAAUAACCGUGCUGAUUGACGUUACCCGCAGAAGAAGCACCGGCUAACUCCGUGCCAGCAGCCGCCGUAAGAC
rnacentral:rRNA from 1 species